AGAGAGAGCUACAAAGACAUGUCAAGUUAAAUAUUCAAUGUUGGAAUGUUCCUGGUUCAAUGCAGGUUAAGCUCUUGUUGACUUUUUCCUCAGAAACAAGAUCGUAUUUACAGUAAUGCACUUAGAAUUUGUACUGAAGGGAUGAUCAAAUUGAUUUUCUAUGGUAAUCGACAGCAUAUGGUGUUGUAUCUUUAGUCUUCUUGGUGUCAUGAAAAACUGAUUAAUGUACUUGAACACUUCUUUUCAUGUGCAGUUUGUGUGAGACUGACUUUCUUCUUAUGUAUCUCUCUCUCUCUUUCACUCUCCGGCUCCCAUUUUUCUCUUCCUUUCAUUUAUCCUCUUUUCUUUUACUCUUCUACUGUCCUGCCUGUUUGUGCAUUAGGAUCGCUGAUAAGGCUUUCUACAAACAGCCCAACUCUGAUGCCAUAGGCUUUGUAGUGUCAGAGGAGGCCUUCCUCAAGGAGUGCGAUGAUGACAGUCCUGGAACAGAAUGGGAGAAAGUGGCUCGUCUAUGCGACUUUAACCCCAAAACCAGCCGUCAGACUAAAGACGUCUCUCGGAUGCGCUCCGUUCUUAUUUCUCUAAAACAGACGCCUCUGGUUCGCUAACGUAACUCCCUCUGGUCUUUCCUAGGCUUUCUUUCUGAUCCCUCUUGCACUUUAUUUUAGUGAGGCUGAACACUUUAACAGAUUUAAGCUUUUAUGUUUUUAAAAAGGGUCAUUGAAUGUGUACGUUUUACUGUAUUUAAACUUCCUAUUUAUGUACCCUGGUCUUUGGCUGUUCCAUAUGUUAAAGAACAUAUUGUAAGUGUGCCUCGAUCCAUUGAAAACAAGUCAAGUUUUUCCCUUAAUCCCAAGCUACAUGAAAGGCGGCAGAUGUAGCCAAAAGUAUUUUGGUUAGCUUGCGAGUUAUUUUUGUGAUUGUCCCGUUUGCAGAGCCCACAAACCAUUAGACAGCAUUAAUUCACUGGAACCAAUAAGUAUCUUUAUUGCCUCAUUUCACAGGAAAUGGAAGUGUUUGGUUACAUUCUACACAUGAACACAGUUUAGUUACCAUCUCUCACCCUAUAUAGUA